rnacentral:lncRNA from 1 species
CACUCAGGACCUCAGGACAAGGGGCACCAGGACUCCCCAGGCAGCCCUGCUAUAGCAGCGUUUUCAUUGCAGAACCAAGAGAGCUUUGAUGGGAACUGGGUUGGCCACCACAGCUUCAAUGACAAUGGGGACUCCUGAGAAGUUUCACACCUGCUGAUUUCCCCCAUCAUGCCAAAUCUUCCUGGUCAUUGAAGAAUUUUGCUUAAAGAACGCAAAGACCCCAUGUCUUCUCCCUGGUGCACUGCAAAUAAACCUGGAUCUUCCAC